UAAAGUUAAACAAUUGUAUCAGUAUCAGUGAAUCAACAUUACUAUAUCACCAUCCUGACUGACAUUCAGACUAUUCACCUGGGCAUCAACUUGGUCUAGGUCCUGACAUCCAGGAGGUAAUGAAGUCUUGCAGAUUCUUGCUGCAUCCAUACAGCUAAACCUCUCGCCAGGCUCUCACCAUUUCAUGUCUCUGUUAAUGAAACCUCUUUUGGCUUGAUCAGUGCAAUCCUCCCCAUCAAUACCCCUCCAGAAUGAGGCUGCAAAGAUCAUUUUCCUGGCCUGUCUCUCUGAGCAUCACUCCUCACUAUGCAUUGCUCCUGUGGUUUCCCCUUCUCUACAGCAUUAAACACAAGCAGCCUCUGUUCACUUUCAAUGUCCUUCGCAGGUUAUUAUUUUACAUUCAAUACAGAAAUCUUGAAUCCUUUCCAUGAUCAGGCCAUGAUACCAGCCUCCCUCAUUUAUUUGUCUGGUUUUCAAAUACACACCUUCAUGCUUUCUUUCAGGUUGCCCUUCAUGCUUGAGAGGUCCUUACCAUAAACAUCUGAAAAGCUGCUUCCCUCUAUUCCUUCAAAACCCUCCUUAAAAAUCUCCUUUAUCAGGAUGUCUACAAAAGUAUUGACAAGAGGUUGUGGAUGGACUAUGGCUAUCACAGAGGUAGGCAACGGUUUUUGGCCGGAGUGCUGAAAAGACCACAAUGUCUACCUUGUGAGGUGCCGGAGUGCCGAUAUGCCACAA